AGCUAAUUAAAAAAUAAAAAUAGAGGAACUUGUAUGCUUUGCAUAGGUGUUGUGUGCUGACUGUCUUUUUGUUAACCCAGACAUGGCUGACAGUUGUACGAUCGACAAUGACUCAAUCAGUAGCAAAUUAUAAAAUAAAAUCAUUGUACAGUCAAAUUCAUUGAAGAAUUUUGGACCCGGAAGUUUAGAGCAUCAAAGCCUUAGCCAUAGCUAGAUAGAGCAUCUGAGACAAAAAAAAAAA
rnacentral:lncRNA from 1 species